GCAAAAAACUGCUAAAUGAUCCAAUUUCUUCGACAAUAUCGGUACAGAUCGAGGGCCGGAGCGUGCAGUCCGAAUGCACGAUUACGUCAUGUCGCGAUAAGGGGCCGGUGUCUCGACGCGCCGGCAACCGGGCCAGUCAACGCCGACCACCAGCACAGGACACACGUGAACACAGACAUGUCGACCAAAGUAGAAGCCCCCGCUGUUUGCAACAGCUGUAACUCAGUCAUCAAUGGAAGAAUAGUGACAGCACUAAACAAGAAGUGGCAUCCCGAACACUUCACGUGCAACACAUGCCGCAAGCCCAUUGACGGCGCCAAGUUCCACCAGCAUGACGGUGGUGUCCACUGCGUGCCAUGCUUCGCUGCCCAUCACAGUCCCAGGUGCCAUGGGUGUGGCGAGCCUAUCACUGAUCGCGUGAUCCAAGCCCUCGGCGUAUCGUGGCAUGCUCACCACUUCGUGUGCGGUGGCUGCAGGAAGGAGCUCGGAGGUGGUGGUUUUAUGGAACAGGCUGGCAGACCCUACUGCUCAGCGUGCUACGCCGACAAGUUCGCAGCUCGCUGCAAGGGCUGCGGUUCCCCCAUCACGGAUAAGGCCAUCAUCGCCCUCGAUGCUAAGUGGCACCGUGACUGCUUCACUUGCAUGAAAUGCAGAAACCCGGUGACAGACGCCACCUUCUCCGUAAUGGACAACAAACCUCUUUGCGGCAAAUGCGCCUAAACGCACACAUUGACAAUACACACACACAUAUUUAUACACCCAUCGAGUAGCCAGGAGUAUGGUACAUAGCUUAUCUAGUUGUGCUUCUCAAAGAAAAUGCAGAUAUUUAAAGAAUAAUAUUUUUUUAUAAAAAGUAUUUUUUUACAGCAGCCAUUUAAGAUUAAGACCCUUUUCCUUGGACUUUCUGCUAAGAAAUGCUUACAUUUCAUUCUACUAUCAAAAUCACAAUCUUUGAGAACACAAUCUUACUGCUAAAAUAAAUUAUAAUAAAUAACUUAGGUUUUACGAUGUUACAAAGAUUACAAAAGGAUACAGCAGUUAUAUGACAGUAUUUUUUAAGGAAAUAUAAUACAAUUUGUUCGUAAGGAAUAAAGUAUUUUAUUAAGGAAUGCGUGUUUAAAGCCAUAAUGUAUUGCUGAGCAACUUUUAUGAAGAUAAAUGUUGUUCUAGCAUUUACAAAGAAACGUUAUUUUUAGGUUAUGUCGGCCAUUUUGUGUACUAGUAACGCCAUCUAGCAAACACAAAGUAUUCUUCUUGAAGCCUUUAUAUUCACAAAAUUAUGUUUUCAAACACCCAUCUUUUCUUUUCAAUGGCCGAAUAACAAAGUGCACAAAAUAUGACUGCACAAAACUAAGCUACUUUAAUAUAAGUUUUAAACAUUAAUUUAAAUUUUGAGAAUUUGUUGUACAUAAUCGUAUUUAAAUAUUAAAAGUCGCUGUGAUGCUUUUCGGCUUUCGAUUGUAUUUAUUCAAUGAUAUACUUAUUACAUGAUUAAAAUUGUUAAAAUGAGCUAGAUUAUAUUUUGUACGCUUUUCCGGAAUGGUUAUUUUUCCAAUAAAUUAUUUUGUUUUUGAUUA
rnacentral:misc_RNA from 1 species